rnacentral:rRNA from 1 species
UACGGGGGGAGCAAGCGUUGUUCGGAUUUACUGGGCGUAAAGGGCGCGUAGGCGGCCACCGCAAGUCGACUGUGAAAUCUCCGGGCUUAACCCGGAAAGGUCAGCCGAUACUGCGGGGCUAGAGUGCAGAAGGGGCAACUGGAAUUCUCGGUGUAGCGGUGAAAUGCGUAGAUAUCGAGAGGAACACCUGCGGCGAAAGCGACUUCCUGGACCAGUACCGACGUUCAGGCACGAAAGCGUGGGGAGCAAACAGG